UACAGGGGGGGCAAGCGUUGUUCGGAAUUACUGGGCGUAAAGGGUUCGUAGGUGGCCAAUUAAGUCGGACGUGAAAUCCCUCAGCUUAACUGGGGAACUGCGUCUGAUACUGGUUGGCUUGAGUGCAGGAGAGGAAUGCGGAAUUCCAGGUGUAGCGGUGAAAUGCGUAGAUAUCUGGAGGAACACCGGUGGCGAAGGCGGCAUCCUGGACCGGUAUUGACGCUGAGGCGCGAAAGCCAGGGGAGCAAACGGG
rnacentral:rRNA from 1 species